UAGAGUUUGAUCGUGGCUCAGAUUGAACGCUGGCGGCAGGCCUAACACAUGCAAGUCGAACGGUAGCACAGAGAGCUUGCUCUCGGGUGACGAGUGGCGGACGGGUGAGUAAUGUCUGGGAAACUGCCUGAUGGAGGGGGAUAACUACUGGAAACGGUAGCUAAUACCGCAUAAUGUCGCAAGACCAAAGAGGGGGACCUUCGGGCCUCUUGCCAUCAGAUGUGCCCAGAUGGGAUUAGCUAGUAGGUGGGGUAACGGCUCACCUAGGCGACGAUCCCUAGCUGGUCUGAGAGGAUGACCAGCCACACUGGAACUGAGACACGGUCCAGACUCCUACGGGAGGCAGCAGUGGGGAAUAUUGCACAAUGGGCGCAAGCCUGAUGCAGCCAUGCCGCGUGUAUGAAGAAGGCCUUCGGGUUGUAAAGUACUUUCAGCGGGGAGGAAGGUGUUGUGGCUAAUAACCACAGCAAUUGACGUUACCCGCAGAAGAAGCACCGGCUAACUCCGUGCCAGCAGCCGCGGUAAUACGGAGGGUGCAAGCGUUAAUCGGAAUUACUGGGCGUAAAGCGCACGCAGGCGGUCUGUCAAGUCGGAUGUGAAAUCCCCGGGCUCAACCUGGGAACUGCAUUCGAAACUGGCAGGCUAGAGUCUUGUAGAGGGGGGUAGAAUUCCAGGUGUAGCGGUGAAAUGCGUAGAGAUCUGGAGGAAUACCGGUGGCGAAGGCGGCCCCCUGGACAAAGACUGACGCUCAGGUGCGAAAGCGUGGGGAGCAAACAGGAUUAGAUACCCUGGCAGUCCACGCCGUAAACGAUGUCGAUUUGGAGGUUGUGCCCUUGAGGCGUGGCUUCCGGAGCUAACGCGUUAAAUCGACCGCCUGGGGAGUACGGCCGCAAGGUUAAAACUCAAAUGAAUUGACGGGGGCCCGCACAAGCGGUGGAGCAUGUGGUUUAAUUCGAUGCAACGCGAAGAACCUUACCUGGUCUUGACAUCCACAGAACUUUCCAGAGAUGGAUUGGUGCCUUCGGGAACUGUGAGACAGGUGCUGCAUGGCUGUCGUCAGCUCGUGUUGUGAAAUGUUGGGUUAAGUCCCGCAACGAGCGCAACCCUUAUCCUUUGUUGCCAGCGGUUAGGCCGGGAACUCAAAGGAGACUGCCAGUGAUAAACUGGAGGAAGGUGGGGAUGACGUCAAGUCAUCAUGGCCCUUACGACCAGGGCUACACACGUGCUACAAUGGCGCAUACAAAGAGAAGCGACCUCGCGAGAGCAAGCGGACCUCAUAAAGUGCGUCGUAGUCCGGAUUGGAGUCUGCAACUCGACUCCAUGAAGUCGGAAUCGCUAGUAAUCGUAGAUCAGAAUGCUACGGUGAAUACGUUCCCGGGCCUUGUACACACCGCCCGUCACACCAUGGGAGUGGGUUGCAAAAGAAGUAGGUAGCUUAACCUUCGGGAGGGCGCUUACCACUUUGUGAUUCAUGACUGGGGUGAAGUCGUAACAAGGUAUCCGUA
rnacentral:rRNA from 1 species